AUAUCAGUCAUGCAUAGCAUAUCAAUAAGCGGAGGAAAAGGGUGCGGAACUGAACGACCGCUACCUACGCUUAGGAUGUUGACACACGCGCGUGCUCGACUCUAUACAUGACUCUAUGCAUAUCAAUAAGCGGAGGAAAAGAAACUAACAAGGAUUCCCCUAGUAACGGCGAGUGAAGCGGGAAGAGCUCAAAUUUGAAAUCUUAAAGGGUUUCCCUUUACGAAUUGUAGUUUAAAGAAGUGUUUUCUGUUGAGGUUUUGGUAAAAGUUCUUUGGAAUAGGACAUCAUAGAGGGUGAGAAUCCCGUAUUUGGUUAUUCAUUCUAGCUUUGUGAUACACUUUCAAAGAGUCGGAUUGUUUGGGAAUGCAGUCCAGAAUGGGUGGUAAAUUUCAUCUAAAGCUAAAUAUUGGCGAGAGACCGAUAGCGAACAAGUACCGUGAGGGAAAGAUGAAAAGAACUUUGAAAAGAGAGUUAAACAGUACGUGAAAUUGUCAAAAGGGAAGCGUUUGACACCAGUGUUGUUUUUCUGAAAAUCAAUUAAAGAACUGUUUAUGCUAAGUUGUUUAGACUUUAUCAGCUAACUGUUUAGUUUUGAGCUUUUCUUUAAUGCACUUUUCAGUUAACAAGUCAACAUCAAUUUCUUUUGCUGUAAAAAAGCUUGAGGAAGGUGGCUUGAGAUUCGUCUUAAGUGUUUAUAGCCUCUUGCCUAUGCAGUCGGAGAGAUUGAGGUCUGCAGCGUAGAUCCUUCGGGGCUAAAUGCAUUUGUGCUAAGUUAUAGCAUUUUAUAGACAACUUGUUGACUAUGAUUUGUCUUGUAGCUUACUCGCUUAUGUUAUUUUACCUACGCUUAGGAUGUUGACGCGCGUGUGUGCGUG
rnacentral:rRNA from 1 species